ensembl:lncRNA
UGCCAAUUCUCCAUCCCAAGUUAAUAAGUGAGAAAUUCCAGGACCCCUGGGUAGUUCUCUAUUUAGGAGUGAAAAUGACUUUUUAUAUGGCGCCUCUGCCUUGACUUUUCACUUCCUCAUUCCUCUCUCCUGGAACGAGGAUUUAGACCACCAAGACUGCGGUGAAGAACUGAAAUGAAGCAGUUAAAUCCAGGCCCUGGCGGUCGUCGUCCCCUCAGACCCAGCUCCCUGGAUCUUGAGACACUUUUGUGUGGAGCCACACCAGCCUCAUGUGCCACCGGCACAGGUCCUGAGGAAGCAGACCCAGCGUCGGCCAAAGGAAGGAAGUCUGACCAGAGAGGUGGAGCAUGGGAGGUGGAAAGUCUGGUGCUGGAAGAGGUGCUACGACAUGCAGACUGACGGUCUCUGGAAGCCAGCAGUCACGCUGACAUCUGUCCUGGCAGCUAAUGAACAGGCACUCGUUCGUUAACCAGUAGCCCUGCAGAGGUCAAGGAUGGUAACGCACUCUGUGACUAGCGUCAGUGGGAAGCCAUUAAUACAACUGGCCGUGAAGGGGCAAGAGAAGGAACAGUUAGCAGAACCCCCUGAGAGCUGUGGCCAGUGGAUGGGGCCACCUGACAGACGCGCUGAUUUGGGUACCAACAUUAGGUAGAAAGAAGUGGCUACAGCUGAACUGGCAUGGAUGGAACUGAGAGAGUGAAUAAUCUAACCGCUCUCUUCUUCCAUCUGACCUUUUGCGGGUGCCUUUCAUUGGCUAAGCCCAACCAGAAGUCAGAGGGCACAGGAAACCUGGAGAUGCCAUCUGUAGAGGUCAGCCUCCUAGGGCACAAGGCAGGGUGGGGAUGAGUGAAAAGUGGCCUGGGAGCAGGCUGGGAAAAUGGAGAAUGUCUAAGACAGAGGUGAGUUUAAGACUAAGAUCAUAUUAGCCUGCCCUCGAGGACCCAUAUCCUGGUGGGAACUUGCACAAGGCACUAGGACUUCAGGAUUCUUCUCGCUUUUGUUUCCCUCACUACACCCACUUCCUUAUCUCAAACAAUUGGCUACCUGGAAACUGCUAGAUGCUUUGGGGGAUGAGACAUAAAGGUGGAUCCAAAUUCUUGUAGUCCAGUAGAAGAAAUACUAUGUUAUGAUGAAUCUGUAGAUUGGCACUCAACAUCCAUCCUGCCUUCCUUUGAGUGGGAUCCUCAAAGCCGGGGGCUACAAAGCCUGGAAAGCUAAAACCUAAGCACAAAAGCGGAAACUACGUUUCCCAGAUUCUGUGGCCGGUAGGUUCUGGAUGUGAUUUAGGUUCCACCACUCAUAGGCACUCGAGGGAAAUUAAGAAAACAGAAGCAAAUAAGAAGCCGUAACAUCUUCUCCUUCUGCUCUCUCUGCUGGCACCUGCAGUCACUGAGUUGUUGGUUGUGGGUGUUCAGAGAUGAGCCCAGGGCGCCUAUUCUACUGCAGCAGAUUGCAGCCAAGAUGGUGUGGUCCUGGGGCUGGAGACGCACAAGAUCACGGUGGCUUCCUGAUCAUGGUGCUUCCCAGUCGUGGCAGUGGUGACAUGAUUCGGGAGCCAGUGGCUUUCUGAUCACAGAGGAGGCAGCAGCAAACU